rnacentral:piRNA from 1 species
CCAAGCUAAGCUUGGUGUCCGACC